AGCGAACGCUGGCGGCAGGCCUAACACAUGCAAGUCGAACGAACUCUUCGGAGUUAGUGGCGGACGGGUGAGUAACACGUGGGAACGUGCCUUUAGGUUCGGAAUAACUCAGGGAAACUUGUGCUAAUACCGAAUGUGCCCUUCGGGGGAAAGAUUUAUCGCCUUUAGAGCGGCCCGCGUCUGAUUAGCUAGUUGGUGAGGUAAAGGCUCACCAAGGCGACGAUCAGUAGCUGGUCCGAGAGGAUGAUCAGCCACAUUGGGACUGAGACACGGCCCAAACUCCUACGGGAGGCAGCAGUGGGGAAUCUUGCGCAAUGGGCGAAAGCCUGACGCAGCCAUGCCGCGUGAAUGAUGAAGGUCUUAGGAUUGUAAAAUUCUUUCACCGGGGACGAUAAUGACGGUACCCGGAGAAGAAGCCCCGGCUAACUUCGUG
rnacentral:rRNA from 1 species